GUGAGGAAUUUUCCGCAAUGGGCGAAAGCCUGACGGAGCAAUGCCGCGUGAAGGAUGAAGGCCUAUGGGUUGUAAACUUCUUUUCUCAGAAAAGAAUUAUGACGGUAUCUGAGGAAUAAGCAUCGGCUAACUCUGUGCCAGCAGCCGCGGUAAGACAGAGGAUGCAAGCGUUAUCCGGAAUGAUUGGGCGUAAAGCGUCUGUAGGUUGUUUAAAAAGUAUUCUUUCAAAGAUUAGGGCUUAACCCUAGAUAGGCAGAAUAAACUUUUAAGCUAGAGUUUGGUAGAGGCAGAGGGAAUUCCCGGUGGAGCGGUGAAAUGCGUAGAUAUCGGGAGGAACACCAAAGGCGAAGGCACUCUGCUGGGCCAAUACUAACACUGAGAGACGAAAGCGAGGGGAGCAAAUGGGAUUAGAUACCCGGGUAGUCC
rnacentral:rRNA from 1 species